UACGUAGGGUGCGAGCGUUGUCCGGAAUUACUGGGCGUAAAGAGCUCGUAGGUGGUUUGUCGCGUUGUUCGUGAAAACUCACAACUCAAUUGUGGGCGUGCGGGCGAUACGGGCAGACUGGAGUACUGCAGGGGAGACUGGAAUUCCUGGUGUAGCGGUGAAAUGCGCAGAUAUCAGGAGGAACACCGGUGGCGAAGGCGGUUCUCUGGGCAUGUCCUGACGCUGAGGAGCGAAAGUGUGGGGAGCGAACAGG
rnacentral:rRNA from 1 species